AGCGGCGGACGGGUGAGGAACACGUAGGAAUCUGCCCUUUAGCGGGGGACAACCAAGGGAAACUUUGGCUAAUACCGCGUAAUCUCGAGAGAGGAAAGCUGGCCGCAAGGUUGGCGCUAGAGGAGGAGCCUGCGUCCGAUUAGCUAGUUGGUAGGGUAAAAGCCUACCAAGGCGAUGAUCGGUAACUGGUCUGAGAGGACGACCAGUCACACUGGGACUGAGACACGGCCCAGACUCCUACGGGAGGCAGCAGUGGGGAAUAUUGGACAAUGGGGGCAACCCUGAUCCAGCGAUGCCGCGUGAGUGAAGAAGGCCUUCGGGUCGUAAAGCUCUUUAGGUUGGGAAGAAGAAUGUAGUAAUACAUUUUGACGGUACCAACAGAAUAAGCACCGGCAAACUCUGUGCCAGCAGCCGCGGUAAUACAGAGGGUGCGAGCGUUAAUCGGAUUUACUGGGCGUAAAGGGCGCGUAGGCGGUUUAGUGAGUGUGGUGUGAAAGCCCCGGGCUUAACCUGGGAAGUGCAUCGCAAACGACUAAACUGGAGUAUAAGAGAGGGUGGCGGAAUUCCCGGUGUAGCGGUGAAAUGCGUAGAGAUCGGGAGGAACGUCAUGGCGAAGGCAGCCACCCGGCUUAUUACUGACGCUGAGCGCGAAAAGGCGGGGACCAAACAUGAAUAGAUACCCUGGUAGGCCGCCUGGA
rnacentral:rRNA from 1 species